rnacentral:rRNA from 1 species
UACGUAGGGGGCAAGCGUUGUCCGGAUUUAUUGGGCGUAAAGAGCGUGUAGGCGGCUUUACAGGUCCGUUGUGAAAACUCGAGGCUCAACCUCGAGACGCCGGUGGAAACCGUAAGGCUAGAGUCCGGAAGAGGAGAGUGGAAUUCCUGGUGUAGCGGUGAAAUGCGCAGAUAUCAGGAAGAACACCAGUGGCGAAGGCGGCUCACUGGUCCGGUACUGACGCUGAGGUGCGAAAGCGUGGGGAGCAAACAGG